CAGUCCCAGCUGGGUAGGAGCUUCUCAUAAAUAAAGGAGCUCAGGGUAAAGUAAAGAGGAAACUAUAGUGGAAAAGGGGCAUUUCUUGGUAGGAUCACCUGUAUGAGAGAGGGGAAGUUGCCUGCAGCAGGGAAGCUCAGGUGAUGCUGGAGAAAUCCACUGGUCCCGAACCAGAAGGGUGAGCUGUGAGAGAAGUAAGAAAAGACUGGGUGGAUUGCAAAUCACAAGAAUAAUAGAAGGGGUUUAGUUGUGACUGGGUUUUUCAUUCAAUUGAUCUUCCUCAAACCUGCCCUCUGCAUGAUCUGGCCCAGAAACACUGGACACCCUUCCAAAGGGGCUCAAUACUAUGCAUUUCUUGUGCAGUGGAAACUAGCACUGUGAUCAGUGAUUCCAAGAGCUAUGCAAGUCCAAAGCCCUGCAGACAGACCAUUGCCCAGACCAGAUGCUACAGAGCAAUUCAUCCCGAGCCUGUAUCCACAUAUUGACCUGACUGCUAUUUAAAAUUGGUCCUUUUAAAAUUGUGUGCGAGAUUUUCAAAAUAAGAAUUUAGUGUUCCCUGCUGGGUGAAUGGAAAGGGAGGCAAGAGGAGAGGAUUUCCCUAAAGGUUCAACGAAAGCACUUAUUUCAGAAAUAUGGGAACAUGUUUUAAGGAAUACCUGUACAGCAGCUCUCGACUAUGGCUUUAAGUCUAGUGUUCCACAUUGAGUAUUCUACCGGUAUCUGGUUCUUCAGAAGAAGUUGAAACUCCUUGUGGUUCAGCUAGUCAAUUCUGCAAGGCUGUAUGGUCUGCUCGAGACAGCAUUCCUUCCUAUUCUCUGUUGAUUUGUACCCUGAAACCGUGUUGCUAAGCCUUGCAUGUUAAUGUUCAUUAAACAUGUUCUUUUG